CCUACUGGAGGCAGCAGUAGGGAAUAUUGGGCAAUGGGCGAGAGCCUGACCCAGCCAUGCCGCGUGCAGGAUGAAGGCCUUCUGGGUUGUAAACUGCUUUUCUCAGGGAAGAAAAAGAGGAUGCGUCCUAAACUGACGGUACCUGAGGAAUAAGCACCGGCUAACUCCGUGCCAGCAGCCGCGGUAAUACGGAGGGUGCAAGCGUUGUCCGGAUUUAUGGGUUUAAAGGGUGCGUAGGCGGCCCGUUAAGUCCGGGGUGAAAGCCCACAGCUCAACUGUGGAACUGCCCUGGAUACUGGCGGGCUUGAGUCCAGACGAGGUUGGCGGAAUGGAAGGUGUAGCGGUGAAAUGUAUAGAUACCUUCCAGAACCCCGAUUGCGUAGGCAGCUGACUAGGCUGGUACUGACGCUGAGGCACGAAAGCGUGGGGAGCGAACAGGAUUAGAUACCCUGGUAGUCCACGCCGUAAACGAUGGAUACUCGCUGGUGGGCGAGUAGACGAGUACUACGUCGGUCGUUACGUACGAACGACGGUAACGUACGUACCCGACCGUACGGGGUACGGUACGACGUCGCGAGAGUAGAACGUACGAAGAAAGUAGUACGGCGUGAGACGNGACCGACGGACGACGACGAGGGAGGAGG
rnacentral:rRNA from 1 species